rnacentral:rRNA from 1 species
AGAGUUUGAUCAUGGCUCAGAUUGAACGCUGGCGGCAGGCCUAACACAUGCAAGUCGAACGGUAACAGGAAGAAGCUUGCUUCUUUGCUGACGAGUGGCGGACGGGUGAGUAAUGUCUGGGAAACUGCCUGAUGGAGGGGGAUAACUACUGGAAACGGUAGCUAAUACCGCAUAACGUCGCAAGACCAAAGAGGGGGACCUUCGGGCCUCUUGCCAUCGGAUGUGCCCAGAUGGGAUUAGCUAGUAGGUGGGGUAACGGCUCACCUAGGCGACGAUCCCUAGCUGGUCUGAGAGGAUGACCAGCCACACUGGAACUGAGACACGGUCCAGACUCCUACGGGAGGCAGCAGUGGGGAAUAUUGCACAAUGGGCGCAAGCCUGAUGCAGCCAUGCCGCGUGUAUGAAGAAGGCCUUCGGGUUGUAAAGUACUUUCAGCGGGGAGGAAGGGAGUAAAGUUAAUACCUUUGCUCAUUGACGUUACCCGCAGAAGAAGCACCGGCUAACUCCGUGCCAGCGGCCGCGGUAAUACGGAGGGUGCAAGCGUUAAUCGGAAUUACUGGGCGUAAAGCGCACGCAGGCGGUUUGUUAAGUCAGAUGUGAAAUCCCCGGGCUCAACCUGGGAACUGCAUCUGAUACUGGCAAGCUUGAGUCUCGUAGAGGGGGGUAGAAUUCCAGGUGUAGCGGUGAAAUGCGUAGAGAUCUGGAGGAAUACCGGUGGCGAAGGCGGCCCCCUGGACGAAGACUGACGCUCAGGUGCGAAAGCGUGGGGAGCAAACAGGAUUAGAUACCCUGGUAGUCCACGCCGUAAACGAUGUCGACUUGGAGGUUGUGCCCUUGAGGCGUGGCUUCCGGAGCUAACGCGUUAAGUCGACCGCCUGGGGAGUACGGCCGCAAGGUUAAAACUCAAAUGAAUUGACGGGGGCCCGCACAAGCGGUGGAGCAUGUGGUUUAAUUCGAUGCAACGCGAAGAACCUUACCUGGUCUUGACAUCCACGGAAGUUUUCAGAGAUGAGAAUGUGCCUUCGGGAACCGUGAGACAGGUGCUGCAUGGCUGUCGUCAGCUCGUGUUGUGAAAUGUUGGGUUAAGUCCCGCAACGAGCGCAACCCUUAUCCUUUGUUGCCAGCGGUCCGGCCGGGAACUCAAAGGAGACUGCCAGUGAUAAACUGGAGGAAGGUGGGGAUGACGUCAAGUCAUCAUGGCCCUUACGACCAGGGCUACACACGUGCUACAAUGGCGCAUACAAAGAGAAGCGACCUCGCGAGAGCAAGCGGACCUCAUAAAGUGCGUCGUAGUCCGGAUUGGAGUCUGCAACUCGACUCCAUGAAGUCGGAAUCGCUAGUAAUCGUGGAUCAGAAUGCCACGGUGAAUACGUUCCCGGGCCUUGUACACACCGCCCGUCACACCAUGGGAGUGGGUUGCAAAAGAAGUAGGUAGCUUAACCUUCGGGAGGGCGCUUACCACUUUGUGAUUCAUGACUGGGGUGAAGUCGGAACAAGGUAA